AGAGUUUGAUCAUGGCUCAGAAUCAAUGCUGGCGGCGCGCUUAACACAUGCAAGUCGAACGAGAAAGUGGAGCAAUCCAUGAGUACAGUGGCGUACGGGUGAGUAACACGUGGGUAAUCUGCCUUUUAGUGAGGAAUACCUCUGGGAAACCGGAGACAAUACCGCAUAAGCCUGUAAAGGGAAAGCAGCAAUGCGCUGAAAGAGGAGUCCGCGGCCGAUUAGCUAGUUGGCGGGGUAAUGGCCCACCAAGGCGAAGAUCGGUAGCCGGCCUGAGAGGGCACACGGCCACACUGGCACUGAAACACGGGCCAGACUCCUACGGGAGGCAGCAGUGGGGAAUCUUGCACAAUGGGCGAAAGCCUGAUGCAGCGACGCCGCGUGAGCGAUGAAGCCCUUCGGGGUGUAAAGCUCUUUCGACGGGAACGAUAAUGACGGUACCCGGAGAAGAAGCUGCGGCUAACUACGUGCCAGCAGCCGCGGUAAUACGUAGGCAGCGAGCGUUGUUCGGAAUUACUGGGCGUAAAGAGUGUGUAGGCGGUGUUCCCAGUCUGUUGUGAAAUCUCCCGGCUUAACUGGGAGGGUGCAGCGGAAACUAGANNGCUAGAGGGUGGGAGAGGUAAGCGGAAUUCCUGGUGUAGCGGUGAAAUGCGUAGAUAUCAGGAGGAACACCUGUGGUGUAGACAGCUUACUGGACCACUUCUGACGCUGAGACACGAAAGCGUGGGUAGCAAACAGGAUUAGAUACCCUAGUAGUCC
rnacentral:rRNA from 1 species